rnacentral:rRNA from 1 species
AGCAGUAGCCGCGGUAAUGCGUAGGUGGCAAGCGUUGUCCGGAAUUAUUGGGCGUAAAGGGCUCGCAGGCGGUUUCUUAAGUCUGAUGUGAAAGCCCCCGGCUCAACCGGGGAGGGUCAUUGGAAACUGGGAAACUUGAGUGCAGGAGAGGAGAGUGGAAUUCCACGUGUAGCAGUGAAAUGCGUAGAGAUGUGGAGGAACACCAGUGGCGAAGGCGACUCUCUGGUCUGUAACUGACGCUGAGGAGCGAAAGCGUGGGGAGCGAACAGGAUUAGAUACCCCAGUAGUCCCUGUCUCUUAUAC